rnacentral:rRNA from 1 species
UCGGGAAUUUUGGGCAAUGGGCGAAAGCCUGACCCAGCAACGCCGCGUGAAGGAUGAAGGCGUUAUGCGUUGUAAACUGCUUUUAUAUAGGAAGAAAUAGUCCUUGCGAGGAAAGUUGACGGUACUAUAUGAAUAAGCACCGGCUAACUCCGUGCCAGCAGCCGCGGUAAUACGGAGGGUGCAAGCGUUGUCCGGAUUUAUUGGGUUUAAAGGGUGCGUAGGCGGUUUAUUAAGUCAGUGGUGAAAGACGGUCGCUCAACGAUUGCAGUGCCAUUGAUACUGGUAGACUUGAGUAUGAUUGAGGUAGCUGGAAUGGAUAGUGUAGCGGUGAAAUGCAUAGAUAUUAUCCAGAACACCAAUUGCGUAGGCAAGUUACUAAGUCAUAACUGACGCUGAGGCACGAAAGUGUGGGUAUCAAACAGGAUUAGAUACCCCAGUAGUCCCUGAGCGGGCUGGCAAGGCGCAU